rnacentral:rRNA from 1 species
UUAAGCGACUAAGCGUACACGGUGGAUGCCCUGGCAGUCAGAGGCGAUGAAGGACGUGCUAAUCUGCGAUAAGCGUCGGUAAGGUGAUAUGAACCGUUAUAACCGGCGAUUUCCGAAUGGGGAAACCCAGUGUGAUUCGUCACACUAUCAUUAACUGAAUCCAUAGGUUAAUGAGGCGAACCGGGGGAACUGAAACAUCUAAGUACCCCGAGGAAAAGAAAUCAACCGAGAUUCCCCCAGUAGCGGCGAGCGAACGGGGAGCAGCCCAGAGCCUGAAUCAGUGUGUGUGUUAGUGGAAGCGUCUGGAAAGGCGCGCGAUACAGGGUGACAGCCCCGUACACAAAAAUGCACAUACUGUGAGCUCGAUGAGUAGGGCGGGACACGUGGUAUCCUGUCUGAAUAUGGGGGGACCAUCCUCCAAGGCUAAAUACUCCUGACUGACCGAUAGUGAACCAGUACCGUGAGGGAAAGGCGAAAAGAACCCCGGCGAGGGGAGUGAAAAAGAACCUGAAACCGUGUACGUACAAGCAGUGGGAGCACAGAGCAAUCUGUGUGACUGCGUACCUUUUGUAUAAUGGGUCAGCGACUUAUAUUCUGUAGCAAGGUUAACCGAAUAGGGGAGCCGAAGGGAAACCGAGUCUUAACUGGGCGUUAAGUUGCAGGGUAUAGACCCGAAACCCGGUGAUCUAGCCAUGGGCAGGUUGAAGGUUGGGUAACACUAACUGGAGGACCGAACCGACUAAUGUUGAAAAAUUAGCGGAUGACUUGUGGCUGGGGGUGAAAGGCCAAUCAAACCGGGAGAUAGCUGGUUCUCCCCGAAAGCUAUUUAGGUAGCGCCUCGUGAAUUCAUCUCCGGGGGUAGAGCACUGUUUCGGCAAGGGGGUCAUCCCGACUUACCAACCCGAUGCAAACUGCGAAUACCGGAGAAUGUUAUCACGGGAGACACACGGCGGGUGCUAACGUCCGUCGUGAAGAGGGAAACAACCCAGACCGCCAGCUAAGGUCCCAAAGUCAUGGUUAAGUGGGAAACGAUGUGGGAAGGCCCAGACAGCCAGGAUGUUGGCUUAGAAGCAGCCAUCAUUUAAAGAAAGCGUAAUAGCUCACUGGUCGAGUCGGCCUGCGCGGAAGAUGUAACGGGGCUAAACCAUGCACCGAAGCUGCGGCAGCGACGCUGAUGCGUUGUUGGGUAGGGGAGCGUUCUGUAAGCCUGCGAAGGUGUGCUGUGAGGCAUGCUGGAGGUAUCAGAAGUGCGAAUGCUGACAUAAGUAACGAUAAAGCGGGUGAAAAGCCCGCUCGCCGGAAGACCAAGGGUUCCUGUCCAACGUUAAUCGGGGCAGGGUGAGUCGACCCCUAAGGCGAGGCCGAAAGGCGUAGUCGAUGGGAAACAGGUUAAUAUUCCUGUACUUGGUGUUACUGCGAAGGGGGGACGGAGAAGGCUAUGUUGGCCGGGCGACGGUUGUCCCGGUUUAAGCGUGUAGGCUGGUUUUCCAGGCAAAUCCGGAAAAUCAAGGCUGAGGCGUGAUGACGAGGCACUACGGUGCUGAAGCAACAAAUGCCCUGCUUCCAGGAAAAGCCUCUAAGCAUCAGGUAACAUCAAAUCGUACCCCAAACCGACACAGGUGGUCAGGUAGAGAAUACCAAGGCGCUUGAGAGAACUCGGGUGAAGGAACUAGGCAAAAUGGUGCCGUAACUUCGGGAGAAGGCACGCUGAUAUGUAGGUGAAGUCCCUCGCGGAUGGAGCUGAAAUCAGUCGAAGAUACCAGCUGGCUGCAACUGUUUAUUAAAAACACAGCACUGUGCAAACACGAAAGUGGACGUAUACGGUGUGACGCCUGCCCGGUGCCGGAAGGUUAAUUGAUGGGGUUAGCGCAAGCGAAGCUCUUGAUCGAAGCCCCGGUAAACGGCGGCCGUAACUAUAACGGUCCUAAGGUAGCGAAAUUCCUUGUCGGGUAAGUUCCGACCUGCACGAAUGGCGUAAUGAUGGCCAGGCUGUCUCCACCCGAGACUCAGUGAAAUUGAACUCGCUGUGAAGAUGCAGUGUACCCGCGGCAAGACGGAAAGACCCCGUGAACCUUUACUAUAGCUUGACACUGAACAUUGAGCCUUGAUGUGUAGGAUAGGUGGGAGGCUUUGAAGUGUGGACGCCAGUCUGCAUGGAGCCGACCUUGAAAUACCACCCUUUAAUGUUUGAUGUUCUAACGUUGACCCGUAAUCCGGGUUGCGGACAGUGUCUGGUGGGUAGUUUGACUGGGGCGGUCUCCUCCUAAAGAGUAACGGAGGAGCACGAAGGUUGGCUAAUCCUGGUCGGACAUCAGGAGGUUAGUGCAAUGGCAUAAGCCAGCUUGACUGCGAGCGUGACGGCGCGAGCAGGUGCGAAAGCAGGUCAUAGUGAUCCGGUGGUUCUGAAUGGAAGGGCCAUCGCUCAACGGAUAAAAGGUACUCCGGGGAUAACAGGCUGAUACCGCCCAAGAGUUCAUAUCGACGGCGGUGUUUGGCACCUCGAUGUCGGCUCAUCACAUCCUGGGGCUGAAGUAGGUCCCAAGGGUAUGGCUGUUCGCCAUUUAAAGUGGUACGCGAGCUGGGUUUAGAACGUCGUGAGACAGUUCGGUCCCUAUCUGCCGUGGGCGCUGGAGAAUUGAGGGGGGCUGCUCCUAGUACGAGAGGACCGGAGUGGACGCAUCACUGGUGUUCGGGUUGUCAUGCCAAUGGCACUGCCCGGUAGCUAAAUGCGGAAGAGAUAAGUGCUGAAAGCAUCUAAGCACGAAACUUGCCCCGAGAUGAGUUCUCCCUGACUCCUUGAGAGUCCUGAAGGAACGUUGAAGACGACGACGUUGAUAGGCCGGGUGUGUAAGCGCAGCGAUGCGUUGAGCUAACCGGUACUAAUGAACCGUGAGGCUUAACCUU